rnacentral:misc_RNA from 1 species
GAAGUGCGAUAAGCAGUGCGAAUUGCAGAACCGUGAGUCAUCAGAUUUUUGAACGCAACUGGCGCCGGUUGGUAUCCCAGCCGGCAUGCUUGUUUCAGUGUCUUGUUAACUCCUCACCCAUACCUUAAUGCGAGAGAUACCCUUCUCUUGUUAAGCAUGAAAGCACUCUGCACUCUGCAGGCGAUCUCGGCUAUGUCGAGGGUCGCACUCAAUGCAGCAGUCACAUUGAUAACAGUGUGAACUCAUUGAGAGUAGAGUCAGUGCAGGCUUGCCUGCCAGUGCUUAGACACACCAACUUUCAUUGCAUCUGAAAUCAAGCAGGAUCACCCGCUGAACUUAA